ensembl:Mt_tRNA
GUUAUAGUAGCUUAAUACAAAGCCCUGGUCUUGUAAACCAAAGACUGAAGGUUAAGACCCUUCCUAAAACA